rnacentral:rRNA from 1 species
UUGAUCCUGGCUCAGGAUGAACGCUGGCGGUGUGCCUUAGGCAUGCAAGUCGAACGGGAAUCCCGAACUUGUUCGGGAGGACAGUGGCAGACGGGUGAGUAACGCGUGGGAAUCUACCUUGUAGUGGGGAAUAGCCUGGCGAGGAGAGAGGGUAAUACCGCAUGUUUCCAAAUUUAUUUGGAAAAAGACUUCGGUCGCUAUAAGAGGAGCCCGCGUCCUAUCAGGUAGUUGGUGGGGUAAUAGCCUACCGAGCCAAUGACGGGUAGCCGGUGUGAGAGCACGACCGGCCACAAGGUCACUGAAACACGGGGCCUACACCUACGGGUGGCAGCAACCGGGAAUAUUGCGCAAUGGGCGAAAGCCUGACGCAGCGACACCGCGUGUGGGAAGAAGCUUUUCGGAGUGUAAACCACUGUGGCAAGGGAAGAAUUGUUGACGGUACCUUGCUAGAAAGCACCUGCUAACUACGUGCCAGAAGCCUCGGUCAUACGUAGGGUGCAAGCGUUAUCCGGAUUUAUUGGGCGUAAAGAGUUCCGCAGGCGUCUUUACAAGUUUCUUGUUUAAGCCUGAGGCUCAACUUCAGAAAAGCAAGAAAAACUGUAGAGAUUGAGUUGGUUUGGGGAAGCUGGAAUUCUCGGUGGAGGGGUGAAAUCCGUAGAUAUCGAGAGGAACACCAAUCGCGAAGGCAAGCUUCUAAAACAAUACUGACGCUAAGGGACGAAAGCUUGGGUAGCAAAAGGGAUUAGAGACCCCUGUAGUCCAAGCCGUAAACUUUCCUCGCUAGUUGCCUGGUUAAUAAUGCAU